rnacentral:rRNA from 1 species
GACGAACGCUGGCGGCGUGCUUAACACAUGCAAGUCGAGCGAGAGAAAUUCCUUCGGGAAGGACUCUAGCGGCGGACGGGUGAGGAACACGUGGGUAACCUGCCUCAUAGAGGGGAAUAGCCUUUCGAAAGGAAGAUUAAUACCGCAUAAGAUUGUAGUAUCGCAUGAUACAGCAAUUAAAGGAGUAAUCCGCUAUGAGAUGGACCCGCGUCGCAUUAGCUAGUUGGUGAGGUAACGGCUCACCAAGGCGACGAUGCGUAGCCGACCUGAGAGGGUGAUCGGCCACAUUGGGACUGAGACACGGCCCAGACUCCUACGGGAGGCAGCAGUGGGGAAUAUUGCACAAUGGGGGAAACCCUGAUGCAGCAACGCCGCGUGAGUGAUGACGGUCUUCGGAUUGUAAAACUCUGUCUUCAGGGACGAUAAUGACGGUACCUGAGGAGGAAGCCACGGCUAACUACGUGCCAGCCGCCGCGGUAA